rnacentral:rRNA from 1 species
UGGGGAAUCUUGCGCAAUGGGCGAAAGCCUGACGCAGCAACGCCGCGUGAGCGAAGAAGGCCUUCGGGUUGUAAAGCUCUGUCAGGAGGGACGAAGCCACUCGGGUUAAUAGCCCAGAGGGUGACGGUACCUCCAGAGGAAGCCCCGGCUAACUACGUGCCAGCAGCCGCGGUAAUACGUAGGGGGCAAGCGUUGUCCGGAAUCAUUGGGCGUAAAGCGCGUGUAGGCGGCCGGCCAAGUCCGAUGUGAAAGCUCGGGGCUCAACCCGGACGCUGCGUUGGAAGCUGGUAGGCUUGACUCCGGAAGAGGAGACUGGAAUUCCUGGUGUAGCGGUGAAAUGCGCAGAUAUCAGGUAGAACACCGGUGGCGAAGGCGGGUCUCUGGGACGGUACUGACGCUGAGACGCGAAAGCGUGGGGAGCAAACAG